CUGCGGCAGCGACACUAUGUGUUGUUGGGUAGGGGAGCGUUCUGUAAGCCUGUGAAGGUGUGUCGUGAGGCAUGCUGGAGGUAUCAGAAGUGCGAAUGCUGACAUAAGUAACGAUAAAGCGGGUGAAAAGCCCGCUCGCCGGAAGACCAAGGGUUCCUGUCCAACGUUAAUCGGGGCAGGGUGAGUCGACCCCUAAGGCGAGGCCGAAAGGCGUAGUCGAUGGGAAACGGGUUAAUAUUCCCGUACUUGGUGUUACUGCGAAGGGGGGACGGAGAAGGCUAUGUUGGCCGGGCGACGGUUGUCCCGGUUUAAGCGUGUAGGUGUGUGUUCCAGGUAAAUCCGGUUCACUUUAACACUGAGGCGUGACGACGAGGCACUACGGUGCUGAAGCAACAAAUGCCCUGCUUCCAGGAAAAGCCUCUAAGCAUCAGGUAACAUCAAAUCGUACCCCAAACCGACACAGGUGGUCAGGUAGAGAAUACCAAGGCGCUUGAGAGAACUCGGGUGAAGGAACUAGGCAAAAUGGUGCCGUAACUUCGGGAGAAGGCACGCUGACACGUAGGUGAAGUGAUUUACUCAUGGAGCUGAAGUCAGUCGAAGAUACCAGCUGGCUGCAACUGUUUAUUAAAAACACAGCACUGUGCAAACACGAAAGUGGACGUAUACGGUGUGACGCCUGCCCGGUGCCGGAAGGUUAAUUGAUGGGGUCAGCGCAAGCGAAGCUCCUGAUCGAAGCCCCGGUAAACGGCGGCCGUAACUAUAACGGUCCUAAGGUAGCGAAAUUCCUUGUCGGGUAAGUUCCGACCUGCACGAAUGGCGUAAUGAUGGCCAGGCUGUCUCCACCCGAGACUCAGUGAAAUUGAACUCGCUGUGAAGAUGCAGUGUACCCGCGGCAAGACGGAAAGACCCCGUGAACCUUUACUAUAGCUUGACACUGAACAUUGAGCCUUGAUGUGUAGGAUAGGUGGGAGGCUUUGAAGUGUGGACGCCAGUCUGCAUGGAGCCGACCUUGAAAUACCACCCUUUAAUGUUUGAUGUUCUAACGUGGACCCGUGAUCCGGGUUGCGGACAGUGUCUGGUGGGUAGUUUGACUGGGGCGGUCUCCUCCUAAAGAGUAACGGAGGAGCACGAAGGUUGGCUAAUCCUGGUCGGACAUCAGGAGGUUAGUGCAAUGGCAUAAGCCAGCUUGACUGCGAGCGUGACGGCGCGAGCAGGUGCGAAAGCAGGUCAUAGUGAUCCGGUGGUUCUGAAUGGAAGGGCCAU
rnacentral:rRNA from 1 species